CUUUCAAAAUCUUACGUGCACGUCGUCGAGAAAUAUUCUUAGUUUUUCGAUACAAGUCCAAUAAUGAAAGUUUUUAUUUUUGGACGACGAGUGAAUAGUAAAUCGGGAUUUCUCGAUAAACGAACCGAGCUCGUUUAUCAGAAUUUUGAGAACGAGCUUGCGUUUUCUAUAUUUAUAUAGAAUUACGAGUGCAAUGAAAGUGAGUAGAGGUUGAGAGGGCGAGUAACAAAGAGUAUGGGUUGUUAGUUGUUAAAACGAGACGAGACGAGAUAUUUAACGACUAACGGGUUAAUAUCCUAAAUAUCUAACCUACCCUACCCCUAACCACCCCCAAACCUCCCAAAACCCCUUUCCCCUCACUAACUCACGCUAUAUCAGCCCACACCACACACACAACUCACAUAUUCACACACACAACACCUAAAACACACACUACACACGCCAUUUUCCAUUUAAGCUUGGACGGAGCUUUUGACCUCCGAUUUGAGCACCGAGACGAGCGCCGAUCAUCUUUUCGAUCAUGUAUCUAAGUAGGUCCUUUUGGGAAGUAACGACUUGAGGGAGAGAGUGACGUUACUCAUUGAUACAGAGACACAACGAGGUUGAGCUGAUGUGAUGAUGGUGCUGCAAUGAGCGGAGUCUCCAGGGUUGUUAAUAAAUAGUUAACCUGUCUAGAAUAUGUCUUCAUACAUAUGUCUAGCUACUUUCCGCUGCAAGAUGUUGUUGAUGUUAUAGUAUGUUAUGUCAUACUUUGAGUCUUAAGAGAAUGGUUUCAUAUGAUGUAUAACUUGAUUAAUGAUAUUAAUUAAGUUUUAUGUUGUCUUUCA